rnacentral:misc_RNA from 1 species
UCCUGGUUAACCCAGGCAGUCUCACUAGAGUUCCCACCUUAAAUGCUGGCAACUAGUGACAAGGGUUGCGCUCGUUGCGGGACUUAACCCAACACCUCACGGCACGAGCUGACGACAGCCAUGCAGCACCUGUGCAGCAGCCCCGAAGGGAAACGCCAUUUCUGGCGCGGUCUACUGCAUGUCAAGCCCAGGUAAGGUUCUUCGCGUUGCAUCGAAUUAAACCACAUGCUCCACUGCUUGUGCGGGUCCCCGUCAAUUCUUUUGAGUUUCACCCUUGCGAGCGUACUCCCCAGGCGGUAUACUUAACGCGUUAGCUACGGCACAGCCGGGGUUGAGACCAGCUACACCAAGUAUACAUCGUUUACGGCUAGGACUAC